rnacentral:antisense_RNA from 1 species
CUUGAUGGCACCCAGCCACAACGGCCGAUCCUCAGGCCGGCCCUGGCCGUACGUCGCCAGCAACGCCUGCGCCUC